UACGGAGGGAGCUAGCGUUGUUCGGAAUUACUGGGCGUAAAGCGCACGUAGGCGGCUUUGUAAGUUAGAGGUGAAAGCCCGGAGCUCAACUCCGGAAUUGCCUUUAAGACUGCAUCGCUUGAAUCCGGGAGAGGUGAGUGGAAUUCCGAGUGUAGAGGUGAAAUUCGUAGAUAUUUGGAAGAACACCAGUGGCGAAGGCGGCUCACUGGACCGGUAUUGACGCUGAGGUGCGAAAGCGUGGGGAGCAAACAGG
rnacentral:rRNA from 1 species